AGUUAUAUGCUUGUCUCAAAGAUUAAGCCAUGCAUGUCUAAGUACACACGAAUUAAAAGUGAAACCGCAAAAGGCUCAUUAUAUCAGUUAUGGUUCAUUAGAUCGUUAACAGUUACUUGGAUAACUGUGGUAAUUCUAGAGCUAAUACAUGCAAUAUAAACACGGACCUUUUGGAACGUGUGCUUUUAUUAGGCUAAAACCAAGCGAUUUUCUUGAAAAUUGUUUAUAUGGUUGAACUCUAGAUAAUUUGCCGAUCGUAUGGUCUUGAACCGACGACAGAUCUUUCAAAUGUCUGCCCUAUCAACUAUUGAUGGUAGUAUCUAGGACUACCAUGGUUGCAACGGGUAACGGGGAAUCAGGGUUCGAUUCCGGAGAGGGAGCCUGAGAAACGGCUACCACAUCUAAGGAAGGCAGCAGGCGCGUAAAUUACCCACUCCCAGUACGGGGAGGUAGUGACGAAAAAUAACAAUACAGGACUCAUAUCCGAGGCCCUGUAAUUGGAAUGAGUACACUUUAAAUCCUUUAACAAGGACUAUUAGAGGGCAAGUCUGGUGCCAGCAGCCGCGGUAAUUCCAGCUCUAAUAGCGUAUAUUAAAGUUGUUGCGGUUAAAACGUUCGUAGUUGAAUUUGUGCUUCAUACGGGUAGUACAAACUAUAAUUGUGGACUGUACAUUACCUUAUGUAUGCAAGCGUAUUACCGGUGGAGUUCUUAUAUAUACUGGUGCUUUGUAUCUUUAUGUAUUCCUCCUAUUUAAACCUACUUCAGUGCUCUUUAUCGAGUGUUGUUGUGGGCCGGUACAAUUACUUUGAACAAAUUAGAGUGCUUAAAGCAGGCUCCAAAUGCCUGAAUAUUUUGUGCAUGGAAUAAUGAAAUAAGACUCUCUGAUCUACUUUCAUUGGUUUUUAGAUCAAGA
rnacentral:rRNA from 1 species